UGACGUUGGGAAAGCGAGCGGCGGAUGGGUGAGUAACACGUGGGGAACCUGCCCCUAAGUCUGGGAUACCAUUUGGAAACAGGUGCUAAUACCGGAUAAUAAAGCAGAUCGCAUGAUCAGCUUUUGAAAGGCGGCGUAAGCUGUCGCUAAGGGAUGGCCCCGCGGUGCAUUAGCUAGUUGGUAAGGUAACGGCUUACCAAGGCGACGAUGCAUAGCCGAGUUGAGAGACUGAUCGGCCACAUUGGGACUGAGACACGGCCCAAACUCCUACGGGAGGCAGCAGUAGGGAAUCUUCCACAAUGGACGCAAGUCUGAUGGAGCAACGCCGCGUGAGUGAAGAAGGUUUUCGGAUCGUAAAGCUCUGUUGUUGGUGAAGAAGGAUAGAGGUAGUAACUGGCCUUUAUUUGACGGUAAUCAACCAGAAAGUCACGGCUAACUACGUGCCAGCAGCCGCGGUAAUACGUAGGUGGCAAGCGUUGUCCGGAUUUAUUGGGCGUAAAGCGAGCGCAGGCGGAAAAAUAAGUCUAAUGUGAAAGCCCUCGGCUUAACCGAGGAACUGCAUCGGAAACUGUUUUUCUUGAGUGCAGAAGAGGAGAGUGGAACUCCAUGUGUAGCGGUGGAAUGCGUAGAUAUAUGGAAGAACACCAGUGGCGAAGGCGGCUCUCUGGUCUGCAACUGACGCUGAGGCUCGAAAGCAUGGGUAGCGAACAGGAUUAGAUACCCUGGUAGUCCAUGCCGUAAACGAUGAGUGCUAAGUGUUGGGAGGUUUCCGCCUCUCAGUGCUGCAGCUAACGCAUUAAAGCACUCCGCCUGGGGAGUACGAACCGCAAGG
rnacentral:rRNA from 1 species